CCUCGCCUGUUUUACAAAAACAUGUCUUUUUGAUUUUUAUAAAAAGUCUGGCCUGCCCUAUGAGUUAUUAAAUGGCUGCGGUACUCUGACCGUGCAAAGGUAGCAUAGUAAUUAGUUUUUUAAUUGGGAACUGGUAUGAAUGGUUUGACGAGAAAAAUACUGUCUCAAUUUAAUUUAAAUUAGAAUUUUAUUUUUAAGUAAGAAAGCUUAAAUUAUCUUAAAAGACGAGAAGACCCUAUAGAAUUUUAUAUUUUUAUGUAUUUUUGAAAGUUAAAGAAUUGAAGAUUCAAUUAUAUGUAAGAAAUAUUUGGUUGGGGCAAUUAAAAAAUUUAAUAAACUUUUUUUAUAAUAAUAACAUUGAUAUAUGAUUAAGUGAUCCAUAAUUUAUGAUUAUAAGAUUAAAUUACCUUAGGGAUAACAGCGUAAUUUUUUUUAGAGUUCUUAUCGAAGAAAAAGUUUGCGACCUCGAUGUUGGAUUAAAAUUAACCUUUGGAGCAGGAGCUGAAGAUGUUGGGUCUGUUCGACCCUUAAAAUUUUACAUGAUCUGAGUCAAACCGGGAGAAAA
rnacentral:rRNA from 1 species